rnacentral:misc_RNA from 1 species
AAGUCGUAACAAGGUUUCCGUAGGUGAACCUGCGGAAGGAUCAUUACCAAAACAUAGCUGUCGGGUCGAAAGGCCCUGACGCUUCAACCCUUUGUGAACCAAAAAACCUUUCGCUUCGGCAGCAGUCGGGUCAGGAUUCUGACCCGCGUGAGCCUGCCGCUGGCACCCAUUUUACAAACUUGCUCAGAAAACUAUGUCUGAUAACCAAAUUUUCGAAUGAAAAUCAAAACUUUCAACAACGGAUCUCUUGGUUCCC